GCUGUAGUAACUGAGUGUCUCCCUCCCCUUCAGAUACAAAUAUAACUCAGACGUGUAAAAGUUAAGCAGAGUUACAAAACAAGAAAGUUUCCAGCAAGCACAUCAUGUGUUUCACAAGCAAAGAAAGAACAGUGCCCUCUUCUCUGUAGUUUUAACAUCAGAGAUUAAAGUCUUCAUCUAGCACAAACAAAUCCGAGAGCUAAUGUUUCGAAAUAUUAUCAGCGUUCUUGCUGUUGAUCACAAUGAAACCGCGAUUUUACUUGCUAUAAGUUGAUUUGACGUUGAGAUAUUAACUACAGGAGUCAGCAUAUUUAAUACGAGCAGAGACACUAUACGACUAAAUAAGGUUGGGUGAAGACGAUGUCCAGCCAGACAAAAGAAACUUCGCCCCAGGGAGGAGUGUACCACAUUCUUGAAACUACUUACCCGGAACCCUUAUCAUGGUUACACAGAUCGUCAGUAACAGAUUUCCCUCAGUGUU